rnacentral:tRNA from 1 species
GUAAAUAUAGUUUAAUAAAAACAUUAGAUUGUGAAUCUAAAAAUAGGAAAUUAUAUCUCCUUAUUUACC